rnacentral:lncRNA from 1 species
CAUUGAGCUGCUUCUGCCUUAUAGCAGCACUGUGACCAAAGCAGGAAAAUUCCUGAGCUGAAGCUAUGGGCAUUGCUGGUGAGCUCCCACCUAAGCAGCUGUUCUGCACGCAGUAAGGUCAGCCAUGGUUAAAUUGUGAUGUUUCAGAUCCAUUUAUACAAUGUCCUCACCUGCUGAGCAGCCACCAUCAGCAACUCAGCGCAAAUGAGAGAGCUGGGAAAGAGAGGUGAGCUUUCAGGUAUGGACAUUCUUCCUGCCCUGAAAGGCAGAGGCAUCACGGUUUAAUAUCUGUAGAGGCUGUGGUGAAAUUGGACUGUAUUUAGUUAAUAAGUGUCAAACAAUGAAUGAAUGAGAUAUGGCUGUGGAUUGCUUAGACAAAAUCAUGUGGGGAAGAGGGAGUCUGAUAGGUUGACUGUCUGAUAGACAGUCAAAUAUAUGUCAGUAUAGCUGGGAGUGGAUUUCUUUUAUCUUGAAGCAAUAAUGAUGUUGGUUGUAGCUUGUUCAGUCCCUCUGCCCCUAUGAAAACUGUGCGUGAAGCCAAAGAACACACUGUGAGCAUUAAGAAUUAGAAGCGUUUAAUCUGGAAGACUUCAGAAGUGAGAGGUAGCUUGGGGUCUGAGAGCUGAGUUUUGGGUGUGAUGGAUGGGUAGGCGGAGAAGGAUCAGCACAAAUGCCCACUCUCCAUCAGGGCAGCUGUGUGUCUUACAGAUGGUAUCAGUGCGGUGCUUGUGGCGGAUGCCUGUGUGCCUUCUGCUGAGCAGCGUUGCAGCACUGCUUGCUUACGGUGAGCUUGGUCCUGCAAGUGACAACGGAGUGUAAGAUGUGGUUGGCUUUGGUCAUCCGUCUGCUUUGUGCAUUUAGAACAUUUGAUCUCUUUGGUAAGGAAGAACUGAGAGCUGAGUGAAAGUUUCAGAAUUUCAUCUCCAGUCACAACCUUAGUUUCAACAGGAGGGGGGAAAAGAGAAAUGCUGGCGCUCAAACAUACCUUUGCCCUGGCUACUUUCUCUGAUCGAAUUAAAGAUUUCAGACCUGAAAUUGUGCCCAAACCUGUUGC